AAGUACCGCAAGGGAACGCUGAAAGAGAAAUGAAACAACCCAGUAAAGCCCAAAAAAGCAGAGAUCUAAACUCGUACCUUUUGCAUCAUGAUUUAGCUAGAAAACCUCAAGCAAAGAGCACUUUAGUUUGAUUCCCCGAAACUACGUGAGCUACUCCAAGACAGCCUAACAACUAGGGCAAACCCGUCUCUGUGGCAAAAGAGUGGGAAGAUCUUUGAGUAGAGGUGACAGACCUAUCGAACCUAGUUAUAGCUGGUUGCCUGAGAAAUGAAUAGAAGUUCAGCCUCUCGGAUUCUCCCCUCACUCCACCCACCCCCUCCGACAACUAAAAGAAACCGAAAGAGUUAGUCGAAGGGGGUACAGCCCCUUUGACACAAGAUACAACUUUCCCAGAAGGGUAAAGAUCAUAUCCAGCACCAAGGUAAAAUGUUUAGGUGGGCCCAAAAGCAGCCACCCCAUAGAAUGCGUUAAAGCUCAGACAUGACUACCACCCCCAAUCCUGACAAUCUUAUCUUAACCCCCUAACCCUACCAGGCCAUUCCAUGCAGACAUGGAAGUGACCAUGCUAAUAUGAGUAAUAAGAGAGUAUAAACCUCUCUCCUUGCACAAGUGUAACUCGGAACGGACCACCCACCGAACAUUAACGACCCCAAACAAAGAGGGCUUUGAACAACAGACCCGUCAACUAGAAAAACACUCAAUAAACUAAUCGUUAAACCCACACUGGUGUGCCUUCAAGGAAAGACUAAAAGAAAGAGAAGGAACUCGGCAAACACAUGAAGCCUCGCCUGUUUACCAAAAACAUCGCCUCUUGCAAAAUUAAUGAAUAAGAGGUCCUGCCUGCCCUGUGACCAUGAGUUCAACGGCCGCGGUAUUUUGACCGUGCAAAGGUAGCGCAAUCACUUGUCUUUUAAAUAAAGACCCGUAUGAAUGGCAAGACGAGGGCUUAGCUGUCUCCUUUUUCAGGUCAAUGAAAUUGAUCUUUCCGUGCAGAAGCGGGAAUAUUUUCAUAAGACGAGAAGACCCUAUGAAGCUUUAGACACCAAGACAGAUCACGUCAAGGCCCCCUAAUAAAGGACUAAAACUAACUGAGCCCUGUCCUAAUGUCUUUGGUUGGGGCGACCACGGGGAACUACAAAACCCCCGCGUGGAACGAAAGCACCACCCCGCUUUUACAACUAAGAGCCUCUGCUCUAAUAAACAGAAUAUCUGACCAACAAGAUCCGGCAACGCCGAUCAACGAACCGAGUUACUCUAGGGAUAACAGCGCAAUCC
rnacentral:rRNA from 1 species